UACGUAUGGUGCAAGCGUUAUCCGGAUUUACUGGGUGUAAAGGGUGCGCAGGCGGCACGGCAAGCCUGAUGUGAAAGCCCGCGGCCCAACCGCGGGACUGCAUUGGGAACUACCGGGCUGGAGUGCCGGAGAGGUAGGCGGAAUUCCUAGUGUAGCGGUGAAAUGCGUAGAUAUUAGGAGGAACACCAGUGGCGAAGGCGGCCUACUGGACGGUGACUGACGCUGAGGCUCGAAAGCGUGGGGAGCAAACAGG
rnacentral:rRNA from 1 species